rnacentral:rRNA from 1 species
AGCGAACGCUGGCGGCAGGCCUAACACAUGCAAGUCGAACGGAUCCUUCGGGAUUAGUGGCGGACGGGUGAGUAACACGUGGGAACGUGCCUUUUGGUUCGGAACAACUCAGGGAAACUUGAGCUAAUACCGGAUAAGCCCUUCGGGGAAGGAUUAUCGCCAUUAGAGCGGCCCGCGUCUGAUUAGCUAGUUGGUGAGGUAAAGGCGUCACCAAGGCUACGAUCAGUAGCUGGUCUGAGAGGAUGAUCAGCCACAUUGGGACUGAGACACGGCCCAAACUCCUACGGGAGGCAGCAGUGGGGGAAUCUUGCGCAAUGGGCGAAAGCCUGACGCAGCCAUGCCGCGUGAAUGAUGAA